GUGGAUUGGGUGGAGGUGCUGGUGGUGGUAUUGGAGCUGGCGGGGGGCUAGGUGGUGGUGCUGAUGGAGGUGGAGGAGGUGGAGGUGGCGGCUUAGGUGGUGGUGUUGGUGCUGGAGGUGGUUUUGGUGCUGGUGGAGGAGCUGGAGCUGGAGCUGGAGCUGGAGGAGGUCUUGGUGGUGGUGCUGGAGGAGGUGGAGGGUUCGGUGGUGGCCUAGGCGGUGGAGCUGGUGCAGGAGGAGGUUUUGGAGCUGGAGGUGACCUUGGCGCAGGUGGUGGAUUUGGUGGUGGUGGCGGUGUCGGCGGUGGUUUUGGUGCUGGUGGUGGUUUCGGAGCCGGUAUCGGUGCUGGUGGCGGUGGUCACUGACGUGACUCAAUUUAAUAGAGUUUUCUUGUUCACGUCCAGAAUAGUUCAUGCAAAAUAGUUCAUUGUGGAUUUGUGGGUACGUAAAGCAAGCAAGUUCUUCUUAGGUUAUAAAAUUUGGAGAGUAUCUCUGCAACUUAAUUUGUAAGUCCUAUGCGUCACUGGGUUUUUUUUUCCUUUUUAUUUUGAGGGUGUAAGUCUUGUGUCACUGCUUAGUUACAUCUAAAUGAAUUUGUUUUCUAAGUAAAUUAUCUUAGGAACAUGGUA